rnacentral:rRNA from 1 species
GACGAACGCUGGCGGCGUGCUUAACACAUGCAAGUCGAACGAUGAAGAAAAGAAUCGAAGCUUCGGCAGAAAUUCAUUUCGGAUUAGUGGCAGACGGGUGAGUAACGCGUGAGCAACCUACCUCUUACAAAGGGAUAGCCUCGGGAAACCGGGAUUAAUACCAUAUAACAUUGCGACGAAGCAUUUCGAUGCAAUCAAAGCUAUGGCGGUAAGAGAUGGGCUCGCGUCCCAUUAACCGGAUGGUGAGGUAACGGCUCACCAUAGUGACGAUGGGUAACCGGCCUGAGAGGGUGAACGGUCACACUGGAACUGAGACACGGUCCAGACUCCUACGGGAGGCAGCAGUGGGGAAUAUUGCACAAUGGAGGGAACUCUGAUGCAGCGACGCCGCGUGAGUGAUGAAGGAAUUCGUUUCGUAAAACUCUGUUCUAUGGGAAGAAAAGGACUGUACCAUAGGAGAAAGCGCCGGCUAAAUACGUG